rnacentral:rRNA from 1 species
UACUAACGCUGGCGGCGUGCUUAACACAUGCAAGUCGAACGGAAAGGCCCUGCUUUUGUGGGGUGCUCGAGUGGCGAACGGGUGAGUAACACGUGAGUAACCUGCCCUUGACUUUGGGAUAACUUCAGGAAACUGGGGCUAAUACCGGAUCGGAGCUCCUGCUGCAUGGUGGGGGUUGGAAAGUUUCGGCGGUUGGGGAUGGACUCGCGGCUUAUCAGCUUGUUGGUGGGGUAGUGGCUUACCAAGGCUUUGACGGGUAGCCGGCCUGAGAGGGUGACCGGCCACAUUGGGACUGAGAUACGGCCCAGACUCCUACGGGAGGCAGCAGUGGGGAAUAUUGCACAAUGGGCGGAAGCCUGAUGCAGCAACGCCGCGUGCGGGAUGACGGCCUUCGGGUUGUAAACCGCUUUCGCCUGUGACGAAGCGUGAGUGACGGUAAUGGGUAAAGAAGCACCGGCUAACUACGUG